rnacentral:lncRNA from 1 species
AUGUAUAUGUACAUACACAUUUUGUUUGUAUGUAUGUAUGUAUAUAUAUAUAUAUAUACACCUGUGUGUAUAUAUGACAUGUAACUAUAAUCUCACCGCUAUACGCAAGCAGAAGAAAAGUCCUCUUUCCUUCUGUAGGAUGGCUUCUUUCCUGCUUCAAGAGCCACACAUUGGUGAGCAGAAAUAUGUGUUCUCGCAUCCUUCGCACACUAACCCUACCGAAGCAUCAAGAACGAGGAAGCUGGCGGGAGAGAGGGCUGCUUCUCCAGAUAUUCGGAGAUGGAAUCCAUGUUAAUAUGAAGGCGACUUUUAUCAGACUUAUGAUGGCACUGUCAGAGAAUCUCUUGAACAUCUUUUCAAACAUAGAUUCAACAGUGUUGUCGGUUCCAUAACAGCACCCUGGUGAAUGCUGCCAUCGGUGGCUACUAAUUGACUUUCACUCUAAAUUCUUCGUAGAAAUUUCCUUUAUCUAUAUAUCAUAUGAAUUGUGAUUACAACACAAUAAAUCAAACGAUUACAUACAUAUCUAACCUAUGUGGUUUGAUACAUACUAGUAUAGUAACAAAGAAGAUCAUAACUAUAUCACAUGAACAUGAUUAUCUAAAUACGUAGAUAAUUAAGCACACAUAUAAUUUAAAAUAGAAAAUCAAACAUACACACAAACACAGAUACAGCACCCACAAGAACAUAACACUCACAUAGACACAAAUAUUUAGUCCUUUAAUUUUUUAGCAUAAGUAACACUUUGCCUGUAAUCGUCAGUUUUUUUUCGUUUUUUUUUUUACUUGCAGUGAUUUGGUGGAAGAAAAUAAUAAAAAAAAAAAUCUUAAAAUUAUAAGAGAAACUCAGCAACUAAACAUGACAAGCAAUAAUUCUGUAGCAAUCUUUAGAUAUUUCAUUCGUCACCCCGUCCCUUCCUUGUUAUGUUCACAUUGCCACCACUUCAAAGAACGCCUAAUUAUUGAAACACUUUGAAGCAACCAUCGUUAAUUUUGUCAUCGAUAUCUUGUCUUGUUUCUUUCACAUUCUGCUUUUCUUUCCUUUACAUCAGUACCAUUGAUUUUCUUUUCUUCUUUCUUUUUGUUUAUUUCCUUUCACGUUGUCUAUAUAUAUGCUUGAGCAACACAAUGUAGGAAUUGCAAACACACAAUUGUCAGAACCAAAACGUCACAUAAUCUAUUUACUUCCGUACGUCCAUUUCACUACAUUUAUGAAACAUAUAUAUAUAUAUAUAUAUAUAUAUAUAUAUAUAUAUAUAUAGCAUUGAUACUUAUAUGCGUAACAGUAUGUGCAUCAACAGUUACAGUUUUUCAAAUAUACACACACAGUCAGAUAUGUACAUACGUAUAUACAUUUGCAAGCAUAUGUAUACGUCCAUAUAUUAUAUAUACGCUAUAUAUGCAUGCUCUAUAUGCAUACAUUAAAUAUAUAUAUAAACAAAUAUAUUUUAUACACACACGCACAUACAUUACAUAACAUAUAUAUAUAUAUAUAUAUAUAUAUAUAUAUAUAUGCAUACACACACACAUAGAAAUGUACAUACAUAUACACAUGCCAAAACAGGAAGUUAGACUAUGAUAUUUGUAUAAUGUUUUUCCUUUUAAUGUUUUCAUUAACAAAUUUGUUCCCCGCCAUUUUGACUAUUAUUUGCAAAUACAAUAUUUUUUAAAUGGUGGCAGUGUACUUGUUCAUUGUUUCCAAUUAAAUAAAUUUAGUUUCUCUUUUUUCCUUAAUCAAUAUGUACAAUUUAU